CAACCCCUCGGUUUAUGCCGGUUUUGAGCUCAGCUGGUUCCUGAAAGGGGCAGCUGGCUUUAAAGUUGCACGCUCUGCGGGUGACCCAAACCUGAAAAAACAUAGUAAAAUCUGCUCUUGUUUAACUAAGGAUUGGUCAAGCUCCGCCUGAACAACAAACACUUUUUCUAAG
rnacentral:misc_RNA from 1 species